CAGGCUGGUCUCAAACUCCUGACCUCUGGUGAUCCGCCAGCAUCAGCUUCCCAAAGUGUUGAGAUUACAGGCGUGAGCCACCACGCCCGGCCUGCCGUUAUUUUUUCCAAAAGUUGUCUCCACCCUGCUAUGCCCCUCGUCCAUGGGUCUCCAGUUAAAGGCACAGUAGGCUGCUUGAAGUGGUCCCACAACUCAGAGGGGCUCUGCCAUUUUCCUCAUUUUUUUUCUGUUCCCUUUUGGAUAGCUUAUAUUGCAAUGGCUUCAAGUCCACUAAUUUUUUGCUCUGCAAUGUCUAUUUUGGUUUUAAUCUCAUCAGUGUAUUUUCCAUCUCAGACAUUGUAUUUUUGUCUCUGGAAAUUGUUUGGGCCAUUUUUAUGUCUUUCAUUCCUUUUCUUAACAUGCUCCUGUUUUCGUCUAUCCUUCUUAAUAAUGGCCAUUCUGAUGUCCCUGUCUACUUAGUAGACGGAAUUAUUCUACCACCUUGUGUCAUUUCUGGGUCUGUUUCUACAGACUAACUUUUCUUCUCAUUGUGUGGUAUAGUUCCUGCUUCUUUGCAUGUUUGAUUGUUUUUUUUCUUUUUUUGAGACGGAGUCUCACUCUGUCGCCCAGGCUAGAGUGCAGUGGUGAGAUUGAGAUCUUGGCUUACUUACCUCCACCUCCUGGGUUCAAGUGAUUCUCCUGCCUCGGCCUUCCGAGUAGCUGGGAUUACAGGCACAUGCCACCGUGCCUGGCUUAUUUUUGUAUUUUUAGAGACGGGGUUUCACCAUGUUGGCCAGGCUGUUCUCAAACUCCUAGCCUCAAGUGAUCCACCCGCCUUGACCUCCCACAGUGCUUGGAUUACAGGCGUGAGCCUCUGACACCCGGCCUCGUUUGUUCUAAAAAAAAUAAGUAAAUAAAUAUGUUUUCCCCCUUACUUUUGAGUUUUGUUCUGGAUGCUAUUAAAGCACUUGCAACCGUUUGGUCUUUUUGAGGCUUGACUUAAAGGUGUUAGGAAGGCACAGAGCAGUCUCUAGUCUAGGGCUAAUCUAGCCUGAAUAUGGCAUCAAUAUCCUUUUGAGUCCUCUACCCUGUUCUCCAUGAAUGAUGUUUCCCCACACUUAGUGCUGGGAAUGUGACUUGCUUCCCGCUUUCUUCCAAUGGCUCUUUCCCCAGCCUCAGGCAGUUUCCUCACACACAGGAGCCAUCAGUCCUCAGCAGGAGCCUUAGGGGAACACUGAGGCAAUUUCUACUCCAGUGUUGCAGCUGCCCUGGGCUCUUGGUGUUUGUUCCCUCUCUCAGGCGUUACUAUCCUGCAAUGGCUGCUGUCCGAUGUCUCUCUCUCUAUAUAGUCAUCUAUGGGCCAGUUUUUGUUGCUCCACCACAGCUGGAAGACCAACAAUAUUUACUGCAAACAUAUAUGCCAGGUACUGCUCUAGGCAAAGUCCCACCCCUCACGGAAGCGACACCUCAGUUAGUAGAGUUAGAAUAAGUACAUUUGCAUAUUUACUUAAAUAUGCAUUACGUCCAGUGGUAAAGUUAGGUAGGGCGAGAGGGAGCGUGAUGGAGGGGUUGUCCUACACAUUAGGGCACUGGGAUGCUUCUCUGAGCUGAAUCCGGGGGAGCCCUAUGGAUGUCCAGAGGAAGAGCUCCCCAGGCAGAAGGAGCGAGGGGGGUGCAGGGGAAACAUGCUGAGCAUUCUCAGAACAGCAGGAAGGCCUGGCUGGGGCAGAGCAAGCCUUGGGAUAGGGGAGGAGGGGUGAAGCCAGAGGCUGUGGGGCCACAGACUUUUACUUUUAAGGACAUGUUUAGCCACUGGAGUGUUGGGACAGGGGAGUGACAGAUCUGGCUGCUGUAUAAGGACAGACUGCCAGGUGCAGGGCAGAAGCAGGGAGCCUGGAAGGCGCUAUGUAGUGACCCUAUAGGGGAAGGAGCGUGCUCUGGGCUGAGCCUUCCCACCUGUAGCAGGGGGCGAGUAAGGGGCCUCACACAAUGCACAGUGGGGUCUCUAGGAGCUGGCGGGUAGACAGCAGGUGCAGCAGGCCCCGCCCACUGACUGCUCCUUUGGCCCUCCCAGGUGGAGGGUCACAAACUCCACCCUCAGAAGUGCUGACAGACAAGAGUCCUCUUGUGCAAAUAUAAAGAGGUUUAUUCAUUCUGUCAUUAGGAUACAAAAUAGAACAUGUAAA
rnacentral:lncRNA from 10 species